rnacentral:rRNA from 1 species
AGUGAACGCUGGCGGUAGGCCUAACACAUGCAAGUCGAACGGCAGCACAGUAAGAGCUUGCUCUUACGGGUGGCGAGUGGCGGACGGGUGAGGAAUACAUCGGAAUCUACUUUUUCGUGGGGGAUAACGUAGGGAAACUUACGCUAAUACCGCAUACGACCUACGGGUGAAAGCAGGGGAUCUUCGGACCUUGCGCGAUUGAAUGAGCCGAUGUCGGAUUAGCUAGUUGGCUGGGUAAAGGCCCACCAAGGCGACGAUCCGUAGCUGGUCUGAGAGGAUGAACAGCCAGCCUGGAACUGAGACACGGUCCAGACUCCUACGGGAGGCAGCAGUGGGGAAUAUUGGAGAAUGGGGGCAAGCCUGAUCCAGCCAUACCGCGUGGGUGAAGAAGGCCUUCGGGUUGUAAAGCCCUGUUGGUGGGAAAGAAAAGCAGCAGGUUAAUACCCCGCUGUUCUGACGGUACCCAAAGAAUAAGCACCGGCUAACUUCGUG